GUGAACGCUGGCGGUAGGCCUAACACCUGCAAGUCGAACGGCAGCACAGUAAGAGCUUGCUCUUACGGGUGGCGAGUGGCGGACGGGUGAGGAAUACAUCGGAAUCUACUUUUUCGUGGGGGAUAACGUAGGGAAACUUACGCUAAUACCGCAUACGACCUACGGGUGAAAGCAGGGGAUCUUCGGACCUUGCGCGAUUGCAUGAGCCGAUGUCGGAUUAGCUAGUUGGCGGGGUAAAGGCCCACCAAGGCGACGAUCCGUAGCUGGUCUGAGAGGAUGAUCAGCCACACUGGAACUGAGACACGGUCCAGACUCCUACGGGAGGCAGCAGUGGGGAAUAUUGGACAAUGGGCGCAAGCCUGAUCCAGCCAUACCGCGUGGGUGAAGAAGGCCUUCGGGUUGUAAAGCCCUUUUGUUGGGAAAGAAAAGCAGCAGGAUAAUACCCCGCUGUUCUGACGGUACCCAAAGAAUAAGCACCGGCUAACUUCGUG
rnacentral:rRNA from 1 species